rnacentral:piRNA from 1 species
AACUCCAUAUUUGUCAUUUAGAUUCGUAGG